UUAUGAACAUGAUGAGAGUAAUGCAUGAGUGAUGAUCUACAUCAUGUGAUUACGAUCUUGCUACUUUCUUUCUGAUUCUUGU